CCUACGGGAGGCAGCAGUGGGGAAUAUUGGGCAAUGGAGGAAACUCUGACCCAGCAACGCCGCGUGAGGGAUGAAGGUCUUCGGCUUGUAAACUUCUGUCGCGAGGGAUGAAGAAUGCCGGAACCUCGUAAGAAAGCCCCGGCAAACUACGGGCAAGCAGCCGCGGUAAUACGUAGGGGGCGAGCGUUGUCCGGAAUGACUGGGGGUAAAGGGAGUGUAGGCGGCAUGUUAAGUUAGGUGUGAAAGCCCGCGGCUCAACCGCGGAAUUGCACAUAAAACUGGUAGGCUGGAGUGCAGGAGGGGUAGGCGGAAUUCCUAGGGUAGCGGUGAAAUGCGUAGAUAUCAGGAGGAACACCAGUGGCGAAGGCGGCUUACUGGACUGUAACUGACGUUGAGGCUCGAAAGCGUGGGGAGCAAACAGGAUUAGAUACCCGGGUAGUC
rnacentral:rRNA from 1 species